UACGGAGGGGGCUAGCGUUGUCCGAAGUUACUGGGCGUAAAGCGCGCGUAGGCGGGUUGGUAAGUCCGCUGUGAAAGCCCGGAGCUCAACUCCGGAGGGUCGGUGGAUACUGCCAGUCUUGAAGGUGCUAGGGGGAGAUGGAAUUACCGGUGUAGCGGUGAAAUGCGUAGAUAUCGGUAGGAACACCAGUGGCGAAGGCGACUCGCUGGACAAGUAUUGACGCUGAGGUGCGAAAGCGUGGGGAGCAAACAGG
rnacentral:rRNA from 1 species